rnacentral:rRNA from 1 species
CAAUAGCGUAUAUUAAAGUUGUUGCAGUUAAAAAGCUCGUAGUUGGAUUUCUGGUAGGAGCGACCGUGCCGAACUUGAUUGUUCGAGUAUUGUGUUGUCUUCAGCCAUCCUCGUGGAGAACUUUUCUAACAUUAACUUGUUGGGAUUGGGACCCGCGUCGUUUACUGUGAAAAAAUUAGAGUGUUUAAAGCAGGCAUUAGCUUGAAUACAUUAGCAUGGAAUAAUAAGAUAGGACUUUGGUACUAUUUUGUUGGUUUGCAUACCAAAUUAAUGAUCAACAGGAGCAGUUUGAGGAUAUUCGUAUGAACAUGUCAGAGGUGAAAUUCUUGGAUUUUGAUCAGACGAACUACUGCGAAAGCAUUUAUCAAGGAUGUUUUCAUUAA